rnacentral:rRNA from 1 species
AGUGAACGCUGGCGGUAGGCCUAACACAUGCAAGUCGAACGGCAGCACAGUAAGAGCUUGCUCUUACGGGUGGCGAGUGGCGGACGGGUGAGGAAUACAUCGGAAUCUACCUUUUCGUGGGGGAUAACGUAGGGAAACUUACGCUAAUACCGCAUACGACCUACGGGUGAAAGCAGGGGAUCUUCUGACCUUGCGCGAUUGAAUGAGCCGAUGUCGGAUUAGCUAGUUGGCGGGGUAAAGGCCCACCAAGGCGACGAUCCGUAGCUGGUCUGAGAGGAUGAUCAGCCACACUGGAACUGAGACACGGUCCAGACUCCUACGGGAGGCAGCAGUGGGGAAUAUUGGACAAUGGGCGCAAGCCUGAUCCAGCCAUACCGCGUGGGUGAAGAAGGCCUUCGGGUUGUAAAGCCCUUUUGUUGGGAAAGAAAAGCAGCAGGUUAAUACCCCGCUGUUCUGACGGUACCCAAAGAAUAAGCACCGGCUAACUUCGUG